rnacentral:misc_RNA from 1 species
CUGCAAAGUACCCUCAGAAGGGAGGCGAAAUAGAGCACAGCGAUAGUCGGGUGAGAACCCCGACGGCCUAAUGGAUAAGGGUUCCUCAGCACUGCUGAUCAGCUGAGGGUUAGCCGGUCCUAAGUCAUACCGCAACUCGACUAUGACGAAAUGGGAAACGGGUUAAUAUUCCCGUGCCACGGGGUCGAUCACGCUGGGCAUCGCCCAGUCGAACCGUCCAACUCCGUGGAAGCCGUAAUGGCAGGAAGCGGACGAACGGCGGCAUAGGGAAACGUGAUUC